GCUGUAGGAGGCAGGCAGGAAGGCCGUCAACGUGCCUGUGACGUCAGAACCACGCUGCCCCACCCCCACACACCAGCUCGCUCACCCACCAGACUAGACAAACCUAUUAUCCCACUGUGCUUCAGCAAAGCCCACCUAGGCUCCCAGGCACAGAGUGUUUCAAGGCUGACCUGACAUGGAAGUGGAAAGAAUUAUUGGGGGAUGGGAGACAUGUGGAAGGAAGGUGGCAGUAGGAAGACAGCCAUACGGAGGAGUUAACUCCAGGACGUAAGGUGCCCAGAGGCCCGUAGGACCCUUGGAAAUAGAGCUCACCUCAGGCAUGCACCAGGAGCAAGGAGGCUGCGAUGGCGAACCUCCAGCUCCCAUUGGUUGUUCUGGGACAGUCUGUAGUUGGAAGAGUGACGGUGUGCAAACUGAACCGUGUGUGUUGGAAAAUAUGAGUGUCUGGGAUCCAAACAGAACACAGACUCUGCAGUCCCUCAUUCGCCUGAGGUAUCCAACAGUCCCGGUGGCGAAGACCGAUAUUGCCGCGAGUGUGCUACCUCCAAGUCAAUGGUGAUGCUAUCUCAUUACUCCUCGCACAAACCCAAGUGGGCUAGAAACCCCCCUGCGCACCGCCCCCAGCUCACAGGAGGAAAACAGACUCUAGGAGUUAGUUGGAGGGAAUACAGAUCGUACCACACCACCACCUCGGUGGAAGGACAUUGGUUGCAGAUUUACAACCUGGACAGAUGGAAGUCAUGGCCAAUUCUAGUUCACCAGUAUUAAAUACAUUUCAGCACUCGUGGGCAGAAUCAAUCGUGUACUGGCAGCAUACAGAGGUAUUGCCACAUUGGUCUUACUCUUUAAGAUAAGGACAGAAACACUUCAACUCUGAAAGCAACAUAUGUGAAUUCUGGAAUGUCUGACCACAUCUGUCAAGUCAAAUGCCUGGAGAAGUGGAUGUCCAUUCAUCAUGUAAUGCUCAAUUUGUGCAAAAAAAUAUGAACCUGGGAAAAUA